rnacentral:rRNA from 1 species
GACGAACGCUGGCGGCGUGCUUAACACAUGCAAGUCGAACGAAGUGGCGAACGGGUGAGUAACGCGUAAUACACCUGCCCUUCGGCGGGGGACAACAGUUGGAAACGACUGCUAAUACCGCAUACUGAAGGAGGGGAUUGAGUCUGAUCUGCUAGUGGGAGGGGUGACGGCCAACCAAGGCGAAGAUCAGUAGCCGGUCUGAGAGGAAGAACGGCCCAAUUGGGACCGGGACCCGGCCCAGACUCCUACGGGGAGGAGCAUUGGGGAAUCUUCCGCAAUGGAGGAAAGUCUGACGGAGCAACUCCGCGGGAGUGAUGACGGCCUUCGGGUUGUAAAGCUCUGUUAAUCGGGACGCGGUACCGGAAUAGAAAGCCACGGCUAACUACGUGCCAGCAGCCGCGGUAAUAC